rnacentral:rRNA from 1 species
GCUGACGAGUGGCGGACGGGUGAGUAAUGUCUGGGAAACUGCCUGAUGGAGGGGGAUAACUACUGGAAACGGUAGCUAAUACCGCAUAACGUCGCAAGACCAAAGAGGGGGACCUUCGGGCCUCUUGCCAUCGGAUGUGCCCAGAUGGGAUUAGCUAGUAGGUGGGGUAACGGCUCACCUAGGCGACGAUCCCUAGCUGGUCUGAGAGGAUGACCAGCCACACUGGAACUGAGACACGGUCCAGACUCCUACGGGAGGCAGCAGUGGGGAAUAUUGCACAAUGGGCGCAAGCCUGAUGCAGCCAUGCCGCGUGUAUGAAGAAGGCCUUAGGGUUGUAAAGUACUUUCAGCGGGGAGGAAGGUGAUAAGGU